GGUUAAGCGACUAAGCGUACACGGUGGAUGCCCUGGCAGUCAGAGGCGAUGAAGGACGUGCUAAUCUGCGAAAAGCGUCGGUAAGGUGAUAUGAACCGUUAUAACCGGCGAUGUCCGAAUGGGGAAACCCAGUGCAAUUCGUUGCACUAUCGUUAACUGAAUACAUAGGUUAACGAGGCGAACCGGGGGAACUGAAACAUCUAAGUACCCCGAGGAAAAGAAAUCAACCGAGAUUCCCCCAGUAGCGGCGAGCGAACGGGGAGCAGCCCAGAGUCUGAAUCAGCUUGUGUGUUAGUGGAACGGUCUGGAAAGUCCGACGGUACAGGGUGAUAGUCCCGUACACCAAAAUGCACAGGUUGUGAACUCGAAGAGUAGGGCGGGACACGUGGUAUCCUGUCUGAAUAUGGGGGGACCAUCCUCCAAGGCUAAAUACUCCUGACUGACCGAUAGUGAACCAGUACCGUGAGGGAAAGGCGAAAAGAACCCCGGCGAGGGGAGUGAAAAAGAACCUGAAACCGUGUACGUACAAGCAGUGGGAGCACCUUCGGGUGUGACUGCGUACCUUUUGUAUAAUGGGUCAGCGACUUAUAUUCUGUAGCAAGGUUAACCGUAUAGGGGAGCCGCAGGGAAACCGAGUCUUAACUGGGCGUUAAGUUGCAGGGUAUAGACCCGAAACCCGGUGAUCUAGCCAUGGGCAGGUUGAAGGUUGGGUAACACUAACUGGAGGACCGAACCGACUAAUGUUGAAAAAUUAGCGGAUGACUUGUGGCUGGGGGUGAAAGGCCAAUCAAACCGGGAGAUAGCUGGUUCUCCCCGAAAGCUAUUUAGGUAGCGCCUCGUGAAUUCAUCUUCGGGGGUAGAGCACUGUUUCGGCUAGGGGGUCAUCCCGACUUACCAACCCGAUGCAAACUACGAAUACCGAAGAAUGUUAUCACGGGAGACACACGGCGGGUGCUAACGUCCGUCGUGAAGAGGGAAACAACCCAGACCGCCAGCUAAGGUCCCAAAGUCAUGGUUAAGUGGGAAACGAUGUGGGAAGGCACAGACAGCCAGGAUGUUGGCUUAGAAGCAGCCAUCAUUUAAAGAAAGCGUAAUAGCUCACUGGUCGAGUCGGCCUGCGCGGAAGAUGUAACGGGGCUAAACCAUGCACCGAAGCUGCGGCAGCGACACUAUGUGUUGUUGGGUAGGGGAGCGUUCUGUAAGCCUGCGAAGGUGACCUGUGAGGGUUGCUGGAGGUAUCAGAAGUGCGAAUGCUGACAUAAGUAACGAUAAAGCGGGUGAAAAGCCCGCUCGCCGGAAGACCAAGGGUUCCUGUCCAACGUUAAUCGGGGCAGGGUGAGUCGACCCCUAAGGCGAGGCCGAAAGGCGUAGUCGAUGGGAAACAGGUUAAUAUUCCUGUACUUGGUGUUACUGCGAAGGGGGGACGGAGAAGGCUAUGUUAGCCGGGCGACGGUUGUCCCGGUUUAAGCAUGUAGGCUGGUUGUCCAGGCAAAUCCGGAUAAUCAAGGCUGAGGUGUGAUGACGAGGCACUACGGUGCUGAAGUAACAAAUGCCCUGCUUCCAGGAAAAGCCUCUAAGCAUCAGGUAACAUCAAAUCGUACCCCAAACCGACACAGGUGGUCAGGUAGAGAAUACCAAGGCGCUUGAGAGAACUCGGGUGAAGGAACUAGGCAAAAUGGUGCCGUAACUUCGGGAGAAGGCACGCUGGUGUGUAGGUGAAGUCCCUGCGGAUGGAGCUGAGACCAGUCGAAGAUACCAGCUGGCUGCAACUGUUUAUUAAAAACACAGCACUGUGCAAACACGAAAGUGGACGUAUACGGUGUGACGCCUGCCCGGUGCCGGAAGGUUAAUUGAUGGGGUUAUCCGUAAGGAGAAGCUCUUGAUCGAAGCCCCGGUAAACGGCGGCCGUAACUAUAACGGUCCUAAGGUAGCGAAAUUCCUUGUCGGGUAAGUUCCGACCUGCACGAAUGGCGUAAUGAUGGCCAGGCUGUCUCCACCCGAGACUCAGUGAAAUUGAACUCGCUGUGAAGAUGCAGUGUACCCGCGGCAAGACGGAAAGACCCCGUGAACCUUUACUAUAGCUUGACACUGAACAUUGAGCCUUGAUGUGUAGGAUAGGUGGGAGGCUUUGAAGCGUGGACGCCAGUCUGCGUGGAGCCAACCUUGAAAUACCACCCUUUAAUGUUUGAUGUUCUAACGUUGGCCCCUUAUCGGGGUUGCGGACAGUGUCUGGUGGGUAGUUUGACUGGGGCGGUCUCCUCCCAAAGCGUAACGGAGGAGCACGAAGGUUAGCUAAUCCUGGUCGGACAUCAGGAGGUUAGUGCAAUGGCAUAAGCUAGCUUGACUGCGAGCGUGACGGCGCGAGCAGGUGCGAAAGCAGGUCAUAGUGAUCCGGUGGUUCUGAAUGGAAGGGCCAUCGCUCAACGGAUAAAAGGUACUCCGGGGAUAACAGGCUGAUACCGCCCAAGAGUUCAUAUCGACGGCGGUGUUUGGCACCUCGAUGUCGGCUCAUCACAUCCUGGGGCUGAAGUAGGUCCCAAGGGUAUGGCUGUUCGCCAUUUAAAGUGGUACGCGAGCUGGGUUUAGAACGUCGUGAGACAGUUCGGUCCCUAUCUGCCGUGGGCGCUGGAGAAUUGAGGGGGGCUGCUCCUAGUACGAGAGGACCGGAGUGGACGCAUCACUGGUGUUCGGGUUGUCAUGCCAAUGGCACUGCCCGGUAGCUAAAUGCGGAAGAGAUAAGUGCUGAAAGCAUCUAAGCACGAAACUUGCCCCGAGAUGAGUUCUCCCUGAGACUUUAAGUCUCCUGAAGGAACGUUAAAGACGAUGACGUUGAUAGGCCGGGUGUGUAAGCGCAGCGAUGCGUUGAGCUAACCGGUACUAAUGAACCGUGAGGCUUAACCUU
rnacentral:rRNA from 1 species